GGGGGAUUAGCUCAGAUGGUAAGAGCGCUCGCUUUGCAUGCGAGAGGUAACGGGAUCGAUGCCCGUAUCCUCCA